UUGAUUGGAUCUGUUUCUCUCCCCUGUGCCAUGCCUGCUGCAUCUGUCUUGUAGCACUGUCCUGUUCACGUCUUGUGUUCAGAACGUGUAUAGAUGAAAGGACAUGUUCACUUCUUUAGAGUGGAAGGCAGCAUGCAGGAUCCAAGGAACCAACCAUUCCAAAAUACUUUUGACUUGAACAGCUGCAAGAAGAAUUUAACUGUUACUGAAGAAGGUAUUAGCAGUAUAAAUGCUUCCAGCUGUUGCAGUUUACAACUUUAAGUAGUUUAACUUCUCUUAUUUUGAAGUAGCUCUGUUUAUAGAGGGAUACCACAUUAAAUAUUUCAGGAAUUUA